CCCGACCCAGCCUCUUCUCUCACAAUCUCAGUCUCGUCGUCAAAGCAAUGGUGCGAUCAAGAAAUCUUCUUCUCUUUGUUUAUGAUUGAUACUUGUCAGGAACCCGGAAGAUUAAGUUGUAGAUUCCCCAUCGGCAAAACGGCGGCGAAGAUGGUGGUGAAGCAGAUGAGGCGUGACAUUGCUUCUCUGCUUCAGAAAGGUGAAGACGCCACUGCUCGUAUUCAGUUAUGCAUUGAUGCCCCGAGGAUUAGAACAAUUUUCUAAUUCUAGUGAAUGUUUGAUUGCCAAUGUGGACACAUUUGUGUUUGUAAAUUUGGAAGUUUGAGAGAAAGAGCAAGAUGAGUAGAAUAUGAGUGCCAGAAGCGAUCAAUUCAUGUAAACUGUAAUUGGAAUAUGAGUACUUAGUUUAGUGGUGUGAAAGAAUUUACAUGAGGCUCCGGAGUCCUAUCCCUUGUUUAAUGAUAGGUGGUUGAAUAGAGAAAUUGAGGAUCAAAGGGGCCGAGUGCAUGUCCUCUCUCAGUCAUCCUCAUAGUUUGGUCGGCUGUAGCUUGUAAAGUAUAUCAGAGUGUAUUGCUUUCAUGAUCUAACAAGGAAUAUGUGUUUCCCCAACCCUUAUUACUAAAACUACAAACACAAGGUGGAUACUAUCAUGAAAUGUGGCAAUCUGUAUUUUUGGGUUCUGUACAGAUGAAAUGUGAUGAUCUGUAUAUUUGUCA